rnacentral:lncRNA from 1 species
CUUCCAUUUCCCAGAGAGGCCAGAGGCAGAGGGGUGCAGAAGAGAGAGCAGAGCCCCUUUGCCUGGGCACAUCUGGGCUCACUACAUGGGAAAGGGCCCCAGGACAAGGGAAGACGAGAAGAGACAGGCCAGGCCCAAGGAGGGAGAGGACCUGAGAUCGAAGAUAGGAGAGAGGAAGACAAGAAGGAGAAGCAGAAAUGAGAAGGUUGGAGAAAUCCGAAGAGGCAGCUAGGGAGAGUGGGAGGUAGGCAGAGGGCAGGCAGGAGAAAAGAAAUGAUUCUUUUUGAACAGGCCCGCGGCUCCUCCAGCACACUGACUCAAAGAUGUGGGCAGCUGAGCCUGCCUGCUCUGUGCCGUGGCUUUCUCAGUUAGUCCAGGACCACUGGGAGGGGAGUGGUGGACACCCAGCUAGCGCCUCCCCCAUCAGGAGCACCUACAGUCUGUGAUGACUGCCCCCAGCACCCUAAGUCAAUGUUUAACCGUGGCCUGAGCCCAGGAAUGUUCUAUCUGGGACAUGCAAUUACAGGGGGUUGGGUUACAGUCCCACCACUGGCAAGGGCUUGGUGGCAGGAGAUAAGAAGGUGGCACCAGGAAGGGUUGUGUGUGUGCUCAACCGUGGGCUCCCAGCACACCCCCGGGGCCGGCUCACAAGGCUCCAUUGUUGGGGUCUGGCUCCCAGCCCAUCGCCAGCCAGAUAGGAGCUGCUGUUUUGACAAGGCGAGAAAAGCACACCCCAAGUUCGUACAGAUCCCGUACCCCAUUCUUAUCAGGUGGAAGGUAGGGAGCUAGCAAAGCUAAUGUUGAUUUAGAGAAAAAAAAAAAGGAAGAAAUAUUAGCAAUCAUGGGAAAAGUCAGUUCCGGCAGCUGAAGGCAGGGUUGGGAGUGUCAAGGGCUGGGGAAGAGGCCCCACGGUUCUGGUGCUAUGCUGGGUACUAUGGUGCGGGAGUGGAAACCAGGCAUAGCCAUUCUGCUUCCUAGGACUUGAAGUCUAGUUAGGACAAGAAUAGUUCAUUUAUUCACCUAAAUAUGCAGGCUCUGUCGUAGGUGCUGGGGGGAUUCAAGUUGCUGAACUUCUAGUGGAAUGUGCUUAAAAAUAGAGAGCUGUGAACAUCUGCACUUAGCUGGGGGGACAGGGCGAGUGAGACAGAGGGAAGGCGGGGAUCACUCUUGGGUAGACAGGCAAGGCCCUGAAGGCUGAAGGAGAAAUGCAGAUUAUUACCAGGAGGCUGGGUGUGAAUCCCAGCUCCUUCUCCACCAGCGGAUUCUGAGAGAGGAAUUUUGUCUGACUGAGCCGCAAUCUAUAAAAUGAGGAAGACAGGAGAAACUACUUAAGGUGGUUAAAUAGAGGAUUGGAGGAGAGAAGUCAUGCAGGUACUGAGCACAGGUGGCCCCUCUGGAAAUCAGUAUCACAAAUGGGUAAAUCACAGGCAGCUGGUCAUCCAAGCUGGGAGCUAAAGUGUGGUAAACGUGGGCUAGACCCCAAGCUGGUGCUGUAGGCUAGGAUUGGGCUAGUUAGCACAGAGCAGGGACGGCAGCUCUGGGAGAGAAAGGAGGCCAGCCUGCUGUGAGGGUAGGGUCACGUCCCCUCUUUCCCCAGCAUGAGGGGCCGGCACACCACAGACAUAGAGGGCAGCUGCCAUCACCACUCAAAAACUCUGCGACACCAGUUUAAAGUGUGCUGUAAAAUACAGAUUUGGAAGAAAUGAGCUGAGUAGAUCACUUUAAGGAUGAAAAAUCCCUAUAAAAUGUCAGUUUGGGCCGGACGAGGUGGCUCACACCUAUAAUCCCAGCACUUUGGGAGGCCGAGGUGAGCCGGGCAUGGUGGCAGGUGCCUGUAAUCCCAACUACUCAGGAGGCUGCGACAGGAAAAUUGCUUGAACUCAGGAGGCAGAAGUUUCUGUAAACCAAGAUUGCACUACUGCACUCCAGCCUGGGUGACAGAGUGAGACUCAGUCUCAAAAAAAAAAAAAAAAAAAAAAAAAAAAGAAAGAAAAAAAGAAAAAGGAAAAGAAAAGAAAGAAAAUGUGUCAGUUUGGAGACCCACUGAUGAGAAAGAGCCACAGGGUGACCUCCUGUCUUGUGCAUGCAAGUCAUGCACUACUGUAGGUCUGCAACAAAGCUGCCCUGGGCAGACAAGGCAGGGGAGAAAGAGGUUGUGUUAGUCUGCUUAGGCUGCCAUAACAAAAUACCAGACUGGGUGGCUUCGACAACAGACAUUUAUUUCUCACAGUUCUGGGGGCUGAGAAGUCCAAGAUCAAGGUGCUGCCAAUUUGGUUCCUGGUGAAUGAGCAAACAGCACAGAAAAAGAAACAGCAGUAUAUGUGGAAGAAAGCAAGAAAAAUCAACUGGCCUGGAACCUAAGACUUGUCCAAAGAUGUCACAGAGAGUAAAAUGAGAAAAAUCCAGUAGCCCGUGCCCAGAGCAGUUCCUCGUACCCAGAUCUCGUUUGAUUCUCAAAACCACCCUAGAGGAGACAGGAGGCACCUGAGGCCCAGAGACGUGAAGCCACCUGUCCAAGGCCAUACAGCAGAUAACUUAUUCUGGAGGAAGACACCUGCCAUGCCGUGAGGACAGUCAAGCAGUUCUGUGGAGAGAUCCAUGUGGUGAGAAACAGGGGCCUCCUGUCAACAGGAAGAACAACCUGGCAGGCCUGUCUUGGAUUCAGAGCCUCCAGCCCCAGUCGAGCCUUCAGAUAACUGCACCCUUGGCUGUCAUCUCAACUGCAAUCUCACGACAGACCCUGAGCUGGAACUACUCUGUUUACCAAUGCCUGGCCCACAGAAAGACUAUGAGAUAAAACAAGUAUAUUGUUUUUAGAAGAUAUGUUUUGGAGUAAUUUAUUAUGCUACAAUAGAUAAUACAGAAUUUGGUGAUUUUAUGAUUCUCAACUCCUGGCCAAAGCAAAGCACACAACAAGUCUCAAAGAAAAGUCUCACAAGUGGAAUUGAAAGUACAAAGCUGGCCAGACAAGCUUGUGCAGACAUGUAUGUGGUGGAGUUGAAAAUCACACACUACGACUCACACAAAUGAGAAACCCGAGGCUCAGAGAGGCCCUGUAAUUUGCUCAAGAACAAGAAACCACUACAUCUGAGAUCUUAUCCUUCUGACCCCUCGAUCCGGGUCUUUGCACAGGCAUGGCACCACUCUUGAGUACCCAAGUUAAAAUUCCAGCUCUAUCCUUUAGGAAUUUGACCUUGGCCAAGUUCUCAAAGUCUCCUGUGCCUUACUUUAAAAAAUACGUUUCUUUAAUAAAUGCACCUCAAUAAAGUUAUUGAGGGAUAAUUUACAUACAACAAAUGCACAGAUUUUAUGUGCCCAGCUUGAUGAAUUUUGACAAAUGGAUACCCCCAUGUAAUAACCACACAGUCAAGACGUGGAACAUUGUUCUUACCCCAGAAAGCCCUUCCUUCCGUGCAAACAAAAGGAAGCAAACAAAACUAUCUGCCUCAUAGUGUUAGGAAAAUCGAAUGAGAUAAUACAGGUGAGAUCCUUAGCAAGGCGCCUGGCACGCAGGAAACGCUGGAUAAAUGCAUUGCUAUCAUUCCCUGGCUGUCCCCCUCCUUGACUGGGGCAGGGAUCAGGGCAUAUGCUGAACCAUCUCCCUUCUCCAGCCUAAGGCCAUUUAGCCAGACUAGAAGAAGACUCGGGGGGAUGGAAUAUGUGUCUUGGAGGAGACUUGGAACCAUUUUCGUAAGUCUCCAGAAGCCAUGAUGGGGCUGGGGGUGGAGGAAUUGGCCAGCUUUUGCCUAUGUCUGGCCCAAAGAUAGGGUUUUGCAAUCAUAGCUCACUGAAACCUCAAACUCCUGGGCUCAAGCUGUCCUGUCUCAGCCUUUUGAUUAGCUGGGACUACAGGUAUAUAUGCCGCCAUGCCAUGCUAAUUUUUAAAUUUUUUGUAGAGACGGAGUCUUGCUAUGCUUCCCAGGCUGGCCUCAAACUCCUGGCCUCAAGUGAUCCUCCCGCCUUAGCCUCCCAAAGUAAGCCUGGCCAUCCUCUGUUCUUUUGAGACUCAAAGGAUGAAGGCGCUCAUGGCAGGGCCAGCUUCACAGGUUGGUGACCAAGGCAGCUGCACAGGGCCUUGCUGUCAGAAAGUCCCCACAACUUGGAUUAAUGCUCCCAUGUUAUGUGAAAUCCUUAAUAAUUUUUGAACAAGGGAUCUUGCAUUUUCAUUUUGCACUGGGCCCUGUAAAUUAUGCAGCUGGUGGUGAUGGUGGGGAGGGUGGAGCAAGCUGGCUGGUUUCCUCCCUAGAAAAGCCAGUGCUAUUGCCCUCCCCACUUCCACUCACUGACUACACACAGCUACACAUGCUCAUUCACCUCCAUGGUCCCCUCUCUGUCCCUCUCCACAGUGGGGCAUCUAGGAGAAUCUGGGUCACUCAGGGCCCUCCGCUGCCAGGAGACACCAACAGAACCUGGAAGCCUGCUUGGCCUGGAAACCCCCUUGGGAACAGCUCCUGCUCACAGGGCCUGCUGGGCAGGCCACCCGAAUUCCCAUCCUCUGACACUCCUCUCCAGCCGCCUCCACCCAGCUCUGCAGCUCAAGUGCAAAACCACAGCUGGGUGCCAGCCAAGGGGUCUUGGGUUUCAUCACAUUCAACUUCCCACACCUCGGCCAGAGGCCAGGGUCGAAUGGGGCUGCUGGCCAGAGGCCUGGGCUGGAAGGCAGAGGAGGGGGUGGGGUCCAGUCCUACCCUCGCUUCCUAUCCAUGGCAGAGUACCCCCUCUCUUAGGCCUCAGCUUCCCCUCUAUGUAAUGGGACAGGACUCCACAGGGCUGGAGCAGAUGCCAAGGAUGUCGGGAAGGAAGGCCUCAGAGGCCAAGGCAUCGAAGGAGCUCCUAGAACUUCACUGUCCAAUAUGGUGGCCUCAAGCCUCUCAUAGCCAUUUAAAUUUAAAGGAAUUUAAAGGAAAGAAAAUUCAUAUUUCAGUUCCUCAGUCACUCCAGUCACUUUUUUUUUUUUUUUUUUUUUUUUUUAGAUGGAGUCUUGCUCUGUCACCCAGGCUGGAGUGCAGUGGCACAAUCUCGGCUCAUUGCAACGUCUGCCUCCCGGGUUCAAGCGAUUUUCCCACCUCAGCCUCCUGAGUAGCUGGGAUUACAGGCACAUGCUGCCACACCUGGCUAAUUUUUUUGGUAUUUUUAGUAGAGACUGGGUUUCACCAUGUUGGCCAGGCUGGUCUUGAACUCCUGACCUCAAGUGAUCCACUCCCCUUGGCCUCCCAAAGUGCGGGGAUUACACGUGUGAGCCACUGAGCCUGGCCUCCAGUCACAUUUCAAGUACUCAGUAGGUAGCGACAGGUGGCUCAUGGCCACUGUAUUGAAUAGCACGGAUACAGAACAUCUCCGUCAAUACAGAAAGUUCUACCGAGACGCAUGCCCUGGCUAGGAAAGACCAGGUGCCAGGGACACUAGUAGCUUUACUCUCCUGGGGUGGGGAGCUGGGGCAGGGGGCUGUGAUUGAGAAACACUGGAGACAUCCUCUCACUCCUCUCCCCACCUCACCACGGAUGAGGUGGACUCGCCAUGAGGGGAGCCAGGAGCCUGACACCCAGUACAGGUGUGGACACCCCAGAGGCAGCUUCCAUCCUGACUCCUGGAGUGGAAAGCAGGCUUCCUGGGUCCCUGGGAAGAGGCACUGGGGGAAGCUUCAGAGAGGGAGGAAGUGGCCAGAAGCAGGUGCUCUUCCUAGCAAAGGGCUCCCCAGGAGCUACUUCCAAAUGGGAAACAUCAGCCCUCCCCAAUCCUCACCUCUGGAUGAAUUCCCUGAAGGCUUCAGGAGCAUUUGCAUGUUACAGUACAAUGGUCCUCAAACUUCAGCUUGCAUGGGAAUCCCUGGAAGCUUGCUAAGGCACAGCCAACUAAGUACAAACUUGAAACACGCACACUUCCACUGUCUAUGCGGCAGGCCGAAAUAGGGAUAUCUGGGUUCUGUCCAUCAUAGGGUUCAUUAUUGUGUGGGCCUGUCUGGGGCAGAUCAUUGAAAGAUAUUAGGUUGGUUUUAUCUGGGCAUCUUAGGGAUGCAGCAGAGAGGGUGAUAUGGCAGACCUCAGGAGAGACUGGUUGGGGGAGAGGAAAGAAAGGGGUGGAAGCGAGGGAUGGAGGACAGGGAGGGAGGAGGGAAGAGGGGGAUGGAGUGGGAGCCCGCUCGUGCAUCUCCUGCUGACCUUGUUCUUCCUACCUAUCUUCUCACCUCCUCCUCACAACCACCUUACAAGUCGGCAAAUGUGUGGCUCUGAGAGAUUACACAACCUUGCAGCAGAUACAUGGUCCCUAGGGAGUCAGGCUGGACUCUGUUUCCUCUACCUUUUCUCCCUCCAACUCUGAGUAUUUUCAAACGAAAUAAGCCUGGGAAGCGGGGAAGACUCAGAGCUGUGAAUACAUUUUUUUGUUUUCUGAGCUCAUUCGGCUUUGACAGGAAGCUUGGCUGCGUGCGGGCAGGCGUCUGAGCCCUCCCUCAAUGGUGCUUUUUAGGCAUGCCUUUAUACAGAAUGUAAAGAGUCGCAGUUAUAAAUAUCAGCGGGCUUCUGUGGCCCACUCCGUCCCUCAGCCCCCACGCCCAGCUGGGAUGUCCUGGGACUUCCCGCUUGCCCUCCUCCCCCAACCCCUCCAGCCAGUACCACCCUCAGUGCAUCUGGGAAGGGUGGGAACCGUGAUGCGCCUUGGGCUGGGAAACCAAGGGGGAGUGAAACCCAAAACUGAAUUUCUCCUUUUUCGGAAGAAAGGUUGUUUUCAGUGUCAGGAAACCCAUAAUCCUACAGCCAGCUGUGAAGAUUCCAGAAUGCCUCUCACUUUACAGGUGAGGAACUAGAGGGCCCCCUGGAAAGCUUAUGAACACCCUGACCCCAGAGCUCACCCUCCCUCACUGGGAAAGAAAGUCCCUCUUUUCACUUUGUCACCCCCACCCACCUCCCAAGGCACCCACAGCAUGGUCACUCUUUGAUGACUGUUUGUAUUAUAAGCGGCUCCUCCAACUCUGUUCUACAGUCCCCUCCAUGGAUGCCCUGGAGGGAGGAGGCAGGCGAGACGCGGUCCCAUUUUACAGACGGCCAAAGAGUUGAGUGACUACACAGCUCAUCCCAGGAGAGCUGCCUGGCCCUGCUUCCUGAUAGCCGGCCUGUGCCCCUAGACCUCCCCCGACCCCACAGGCCCCCUCCCCCUCCCUGUAUGCACCCCCUGUCCCCUCACUGAGGCCCAGGAGCACAGUUGAUUUAGAAUUUCCUGCCCUUCUGACAAUCUGCGUGCACAAAACGGGCUUUCUUUAAACCGCUUCGAAGGGCAUCUCCUCCAGCCCCUUCCCCUGCCUUCAUUAAACGCCUCGUCUGAAGCAGGAUAAAUCUUCGGUGAUUAGAAGCAUGCUCCUUGUUCCUGUCCCUGCCCCGAUGGGAAGCGCAUUUCUCAAAGGGUUAAUUAACAGCCUUCACACAGGCCGCAUUUAGCAACGAACACAAAGCCACACACAUAAAUAACGUCUGGGGCGGAAGAAGAGGGUGCAGAUGGUUUGUGACUUUGCCGUCCAGAGUUUUCUAAACCGGUGUGAACCACGUCCUGUCGGGACCAGGACCAUGAGUCAGGGUCAGGCUUUAAGGUGGGCCAGGCCAGAGACGCUAGUGGCCAACUUGGUGCUCUUUGAAAGCAAGUCCUAAAGGAAAACAGAGCGUGGAGCCAAGAUGUGGGGAGAGAGGGAGGGGACGGGGUAGGGAGGAGGGCCUGCUGGCUGACCUGGAGAGAAAAGAGCCAAAGAGAGCCAGAGAUGCGAACCGGGAAGAACCAAGCAGGAGGCCAGAGACAUUGAGUCCCAGCUCCCUGCAAAGUAGUGCUGAAUUUACCAGGGGCUCCACCCAGAAAUUCAGACCCUGGGGCAUAGGGUCCCACUCUGGCCCUGUAGUGAGAGUGAUGGCAAGACAUCCCCAGCCUAAGAGGAGUUGUGUGGGGCUGAGAAAAGGGUUUCAGGAAGGAUAGCCCUGAGGAACCCUGGAAAGUUCUGGAAGUGGCACAGUGAUAUUCGCAGUAUUCCGCCUCAUCCAUGCAUAGGGUCUGUUCCUCUACGCAGCCUUCAGCUCCCCUGGGGGCUCAUAUGCCCCUUCCCAAAGCUAUGGGAACACAUCUGAGGUCUCAAAAUGCAUGGCAACAGGAACACAGGAUUCACUUUACAGAGAUCAGCACUGUUGCAAGGGAUGCCUGAAGCCAAAACAGAGGAAAACGAGAGCCAAGAAGCAGAGGGAGCGAUGCAGAUGUGCACUGGACAUCCACAAACCGCAACAGGAAUGGGGAGAGGAGAGAAGUGAUUGGAAAGCCAGUUUUUGGCAUUCGGCUGGCUGCCAUUCUCUUCACCUUUGUGGUCCCUCCAGUUUGCCCUCCUCAGCCCUAAGGGGUCCUCCCCUACUCGGAGAGGCCCUCACCAUGCUCACUCAGACCCUCUCCUCCUAGGAGCCAGGAGGUGGGACAUGGGGAGGGGGACAGUGAGUCCUGAAUGGAUUUCUGCCCUGGAGGUGAGGGCACCCCUGGUGCCAGGGAGAGGCCCUACCACAGCACAAACUGGGCUGCCCUUCCUGACCCAGGGAUGAACCAGCCUGGGCACUCAGGCCACGGCUGUCUCCCUGUGCCAGGCUCAGCGCCCUGGGGAUGAGGGCGCAAAGAAAGAGACGGGGCCGACAACACAGGCCCAACAGCAGGCCCUGUGUCUGGGAGCGGCAGUUUCUCCCCAAGUAAUUUUCCACAGUUUGGCUUUUCCUCCACACACAGGCUUGCUCACAGAGUUCAGAUGGUGGCUGGUCCUCCAGAGGGUUACUCUGGGCCACUCACCUGCUCGGUGACCCCACCUGCAUUGAUUUCUGCCCUCAUCACUCAGCUGUCUCCAGCUUGCUUCUCAAAGCCCUGUGCCCAUCUCAGGGAUAUGGCUUCUCCAGCCCCCAGAGCUCACUUCACCCCAUCAGGGCCUGGAUCUUGGGUAGUUAUGGGAACCCCUAAAUGCACCAUCCUCUCUGGGCCAGGGCCAACAUUUCUGUUUUCUCAGAAGGAUCAAAGCCCCUUUCCUAGCCCUGCCAGGAGGAAGCAGUUUUGACUCGUGCAAAUAUCUGAAGCCCAUUUGGGAUUUUACUUUGGUGAGAAAUAAAUACACAGCCAUCUGCAAAUGAUGGAAAUAUGACUUAAGUAACUUUUUGGUCGAGGCUCCUGGGCCAGAGGCCAGAUGGAAAUAAGACCUUGUAUCUCAGUCCUCCUUGCACACUUUCAGAAAAAAGAAAAGGCUGGGGGAAAAAGUUGGUGGAAACUGAAGUUCAAAAUGGAGUGUGCUAAAUUUCUUGGCCUGGGAAAGGAAAAAUAAACAUCAAACAGCUACCCCAUUCAAGUGUGCGUUAUCUUGCUCAUCCUCGCCAAGAACUCACCCUCCUCCCUUCUUUGACCGGGAAUUGCUGUGCCCACGAACAGCCCCCACGCCCACCCCUAACCCAGGGCAGGCAAACAAUGGGCCAGAAAACCCUGCUCAGCCAAGGCCUCUCCCCCUGCAGCCCCCAGAGGCCAUAAGAUUGGGAAACACAGGCUAUUUUUAUGUGUUAUUUGUCUACCAACUGUGGCUCCAGGAGCCUGAGCAACAGUAUCAUCUGUGGGAGGUACCAUUGAUUUUUUUGUUUUAACUCGCUCAGACAAAGCCACAUUUUCGCAACUUUCAGAAAAGCCAAAAAAGCAACACUCUGCAAGGCUGACCUCUUCCCUGGCUUGCCUUUCUGCCCUCCAGGGAGCUCUUUCUGGGUGUGUCUGGGCCCCUGUUGCUCUGUGCUGGCCCACACCAAGCACACAGCCCCAGAUCCAGAGGGCCCAAAGGAUAGCCAGUGAAACAAGGAAGGGUGAGGGGGGCAGAGAGAGGAUCUGAGGAGAAGGGGUAGUGUCUCCAACUGGUGAGGGAGGCACAAACCCUGCCCUGGGGGUGCCAGUGUGAUGGAGCAGUGGGGCUAACAGAAGAGUGUGAGAAGUCGCACACAGAGAAAAUGGCUGCUUGAUAGCCAUCCAUCUCCCAAGUCCACGGGUUGGGAUGCUCUGUGCAGCGGGUACACCCAGAGGCAGAUACAGGGCUGAGAGGGUGCAGGCCAGGUGCGACUGCCUAGGCUGGGGCUGAAAGAAUCCAGCUGGCAGAGGUGGCUCACACCUGUAAUCCCAGCACUAUGGGACGCCGAGGCACGAGUCC